AUACGGAGGAUCCGAGCGUUAUCCGGAUUUAUUGGGUUUAAAGGGUGCGCAGGCGGCCAUUUAAGUCAGCGGUUAAAUCGUGGGGCUCAACCCCAUUCUGCCGUUGAUACUGGGUGGCUUGAUUGCGGUCGAGGUUGGCGGAAUUCGUUGUGUAGCGGUGAAAUGCAUAGAUAUGACGAAGAACACCGAUUGCGUAGGCAGCCUGCUAAGCUGCAACUGACAUUGAGGCUCGAAAGUGUGGGUAUCAAACAGGAUUAGAUACCCUGGUAGUCCACACGGUAAACGAUGAAUACUCGCUGUUUGCGAUAUACGGCAAGCGGCCAAGCGAAAGCGUUAAGUAUUCCACCUGGGGAGUACGCCGGCAACGGUGAAACUUAAAGGAAUUGACGGGG
rnacentral:rRNA from 1 species